rnacentral:tRNA from 1 species
GCGGGUGUGGUAUAACGGCUAUUACAUUUGUUUUCCAAACAAAUUACGGGAGUUCGACUCUCCCCACCCGCACCA